GCGAGCAAGAGAGCCUCACGUUCUGGGAUGGGGACUGUACAUGGAAAUCUCCCCGGCCUCGCGGACACUUCCCCUCAGAGUCCCCUUCAACGCGGGAGAGCUUUGCCCUUCAGGACCGCCAAGGCCACUGGCACGGCCAGGUCGAAGUCAAUGGCAACCGGCUGUGCUGUCUCUAACUCGGAAAGUCAAACCCAGUCAGGCCCAGGACGAUCACUGCAUUUAGAGCAUUCUCAAGGAAACCGAGGAAUGGACUACCGAAAACGAGCAUUGCAACCAAUAACAUGGUCCUGACUUUAUACGGCCCGUGCUCGUCAACUCAUCUGUCUUGUUGAGAAGCGAAAGGCUCAAGACCAGCAUAUCCCCGCUAUUAUUUCACUCCCGGGCAGAUGACUUCGGUUCAAAUGGUCUCUAGAAAGCUUAGAUGUGAUGCUGCUUAAGUCCCUGAGGGGAGCCGAAAAAGUCUCCCGGGUUUUUGGCUCGAACUCCAAUACUAGCUUUGAGUCUUCCAGUCUGCCUCGCCUGCUAAACUGGAACUCCAAGGGUUUAAUAAUAGACUAAGUGAAAUAAUACGACGGCCAAUGUGUGGUCCACUAGUACCAGGAGUCCUCAUCUCAGCUUUCCUAGAACCCUUCAAGGAGUUUAGAAAUGGGCGCAGAGUCAGCCAAUCAAGGGCGGGAAAACUCGGAGGGUUGAAAAUGGGGCGCAUGCGCAAUAGCAGAAGCAGCGGGCGGGUCCAGGCACAGCCGCCAGCCAGGCUGCACCCGGCUGUGGCAGCCACGGGCAGGGGCGGAGCCCGCCGUAUAUGGGAGCUGCUUGGGGACAAACUGUGUAGGGUGCGCUCUCGGGCGGGCAGGGCUUCAACACCCUACCAGCUGUAGAGUCGCUGAGAGCAACCAAGACAACCAAGAACAGGAGCCUACACGUGUACAUAAUCCUCUGAUUCCAACACCACCUUGCGAUUUGACACAACCGACAAAGUGCUGCGGCCCACGGAACACGAACAGCAAGCCUGCGGAUUUUAAACUAGAAGCAGCGAGGUUUCUCGCCAGAGAAAUGACUGAACAGCCACCCCUUGAUUAAUUUACUCUCUGCACCAAGAAAAAUGAAUAAACAGGAAGGUUUUUAAGGGCU
rnacentral:lncRNA from 1 species